rnacentral:lncRNA from 1 species
AGCCUCUCCCUAACCCCGACCCUAACAACCCAAACCCAAACCCCUAGACAUAAAACAGCAGAAUUACAACUUCUGACCUUUGUCAAAGGUAAAGGUAAAGGGACCCCUGACCAUUAGGUCCAGUCAUGGCCGACUCUGGGGUUGCACCACACAUCUCGCUUUAUUGGCCGGUGUACAGCUUCCAGGUCAUGUGGCAAAACAUGACUAAGUAGUUGGCCAUCAUACAACUAACCUGGAGGUAUGUUUCUCUGUCUCUUCUUUGUGUGGCACUUUACAACUCUUGGGAAUAUGCAGGCGUCCCUUAUGGAGAUUCCCCUGCAACCUUGGUGUUCACAGUACCAAAAGCUGUUAGCAUUUAACUGUUAGGUGUCACAGCCAAAAAUGAGGCGCCUUUGCCAUCAUACAACUAACUUAAAGGAAGGCUAUUUCUGGUUAUUUCUGAAGCACAUUCCAAAGAAUCAUAUGAUAGUGUAUAUAUCUAACUGGAAGGGACCCCAAGGGUCAUCCAGCCCAACCCACUGCAAGGCAGGAAUAUGCAGAAUAACCACUAACCUUGGUUGUGCUGUCAUGGUUGCCCUAUGAAAUGGCACUUUUAUGGCAAUUUAAACUGCAGCUGCAAGUUGCGCCAUGAAGCACCCCUUGCCAUCCCCUUUUGCUGACUGGGAGCGGAGGAGGUGCUGCUUACAGUCUCCCCAGGAGCUUUUCAACAGUCAGGAGGAGGCCUGAAGCCUUCGGGGGGGAUUGAACAUCUGCUGAGAACAUUUAUGCCUCCAGAAAAGGAAAAAACAAUGGUCCUGCUCUAAGGGAAUGCUCAUGAGUGUAUAAGUGCUGCUCUUUAAAACACCUCUCUUAACAUUACAAACUGCUGCAAAUUUCCAAAACGCAUACAUCCGUGCCAGUGUUUGUCAACGUAAAUGAUUCAACUGGCCCUUGGUUUUGGCCCCCGUUGCAGGGGCUCAGCCCACUUAGUCUCCUGCCAUUGGGGCUCCCAGCCUAGGUGCAUGGCGGGGGAGAGGCUUAAAUCUUUGCAGUUGAUUUUUAAGGACUGACACACAAACACACACCCCAAAACUAUAUUAAGACAUUACUAAAUGCUAAGGUUUCCAUUUUUGGAGAGACCGUGGGAAAGUGCCAUCUCCCUGACCAUCGAGGAAUAGAGACUGUUCUCUGGGAGGUUGCCAGGGUUACGGGUGUGAGGAGAGGAAGAAAGACUUUUCACCCAGCUGUUUGAGCUGAAAUCCCUUUGGAGAAGGCAGGCUGCACCUCUGGAAAGGACCAGGCCGUGUGGAGGUGUAGGGACUGUGCGGUCUUACCGAUUUAGAGAGAUAGCUAGGUAUUGCCCACCUUUCCCAUUACUUCUUGCUGCUAAGAAGCUUUUCCAGUGGAUGGAAGUGGACUUAGGCAGAUGUAGCAUUCGACAUAAAGGAAUAAAGCAGAGCCCAUGCAGGCAACCCAUCUUUUUCCACUGCAGCCUUGUCUCUUUUUCUUCUCUUUCCUUUCACUGCCACGCUGCUGGGCGAAUCAGGUGUUUGGUUAAAGGAGCUGUUUGGGACUUGUCUCAAAAGAUCCCCUUUCCGCCUCUCACCCCACAUGGCAGCAGCAGGAGGGCACCUCUUCUCCCUCCAUCAGGCAAAACUUCCCCCUUCCUUCUCCUCCCCCUUCUUCUGAGCAAGAAUUCAGCACGCCCCAUAGAGACCUAAGAAAUAACGGGGGGGGGGGGGGGCGACUGAAUAGGGGUCCGUGUAAAAACAGGCACAGGAUCUGCAAGCUCCAAUUAACGUGCAAGGAAUAAUAAGGGAGCUCACAGGAAGUGAGGCUACUUUCCCAUCAUACAACUAACUUUGAGGAACACUAUUUCUCUUUCAUCUUUCUGAAGCCCUUUCCAAAGAAUAACCAUGGUAUGUAAACCUCUGGAAAGGACCACAAGGGUCAUCCAGUCCAACCCGCUGCAUCGCAGGAACAUGCAGGAGUCCCUUAUGGGGGAAAAUCCUAACAUCUUGGUUGUGCAGCUAAUGUUCCUCUCUUAAACGGCACUUUGAAGGCUACUUCAGGGAUCCCCACCUCUCCUGCAGCUGCAAGUUCAGCCAGGAAGCAAACAUGGCCAUCCACUAUUCUUGACUGGAAACAGAGGAAGUGCUGCUUACAUCCUCCCUGGGAGCAUUAAGGUAAAGGGACCCCUGACCAUUAGGUCCAGUCACGGACGACUCUGGGGUUGCAGCGCUCAUCUCGCUUUACUGCCCGACAGAGCCGGCGUACAGCAUGACUAAGCCGCUUCUGGCGAACCAGAACAGCGCACGGAAAUGCCGUUUACCAUCCCGCCGGAGCGGUACCCAUUUAUCUACUUGUACUUCGAACUGCUAGGUUGGCAGCAGCAAGGACCCUGCAAAGGGAGCUCACUCCGUCGCGGGGAUUCGAACCGCCAACCUUCUGAUUGCCAAGUCCUAGGCUCGGUGGUUUAACCCACAGCGACACCUGCAUCUCAUAACUUAAAGGAAUGCUAUUUCUGUUUCAUCUUUCUAAAGCACAUUCCAAAGAAUCAUAUGAUGCUGCAUUUAUAUCUAUAUCUGGAAGGGACCUCAUCGGUCAUCCAGCCCAACCCACUGCAAGGCAGGAAUAUGCAGGAGAAUAACCACUAACCUUGGUUGUGCUGUCAGUGUUGCCGGAUUAAAUGGCACUUUCAAGGCAAUUUAAACUGCAGCUUCAAGUUGCGCCAUGAAGCACCCCUUGCCAUCCCCUUUUGCUGACUGGGAGCGGAGGAGGUGCUGCUUACAGUCUCCCCAGGAGCAUUUCAACAGUCAGGAGGAGGCCUGAAGCCUUCGGGGGGAUUGUACAUCUGCUAAGAACAUUUAUGCCUCCAGAAAAGGAAAAAACAAUGGUCCUGCUCUAAGGGAAUGCUCAUGAGUGUAUAAGUGCUGCUCUUUAAAACACACCUCUUAACGUUACAAACUGCUGCAAAUUUACAAGACGCAUACAAAUACGUGCCAGUAUUUGUCAAUGUAAAUGAUUCAAUUGGCUUUUGGCUUUGGCCCCUGUUGCAGGGCUCAGCCCACUUAGUCUUGUGCCAUUGGGGCUCCCAGCCUAGGUGCAUGGCAGGGGACAGUCUUAAAUGUUUGCAGUUGAUUUUUAAGGACUGACACACACAAACACACACCCCAAAACUGUAUUAAGACAUUACUAAAUGCUAAGGUUUCCAUUUUUGGAGAGACCGUGGGAAAGUGCCAUCUCCCUGACCAUCGAGGAAUAGAGACUGAUCUCUGGGAGGUUGCCAGGGUUACUGGUGUGAGGAGAGGAAGAGAGACACUUCACUCAGCUGUUUGAGCUGAAAUCCACCUUUCGAGAAGGCAGGCUGCACCUCUGGAAAGGACCAGGCCUUGUGGAGGUGUAGGGACUGUGUGGUCUUACCGAUUUAGAGAGAUAGCUAGGUAUUGCCCACUGUUCCCUUUACUCCUUGCUGCUAAGAAUCUUUUCCGGUGGAUGGAAGUGGACUUAGGCAGAUGUAGCAUUCGACAUAAAGGAAUAAAGCAGAGCCCAUGCAGGCAACCCAUCUUUUUCCACUGCAGCCUUGCCUCUUUUUCUUCUCUUUCCUUUCGCUGCCACGCUGCUGGGCGAAUCAGGUGUUUGGUUAAAGGAGCCGUUUGGAUCUCGUCUCAAAAGAUCCCCUUUCCCCCUCUCGCCACUCUUCUCCCUCCCUCUGUCAAGCAAAACGUCCCCCUUCCUUCUCCUUCCACUUUUUGGGAGAAGGAAUUCAGCACAGCUCAGAGACCUGAGAAAUAACGGGGGGGGGGGGGCAGAUUUUUUCUAGAACCGAAAGAGGGGUCCAUGUAAAAACAGGCAGAGGAUCCGCCAAGCUCAAACUAAAGUGAAGGAAUAAUAAGGGAGCUCACAGAAAGCGAGGCGACUUUCCUGUGUUAGGCUGCAACUAACUUUAAGGAACGCUAUUUCUCUUUCUUCUUUCUGAAGCUCUUUCCAAAGAAUAAUGAUGGAAUAUAAACCUCUGGAAGGGACCCCAAGGGUCAUCCAGUCCAACCCGUUGCAUUGCAGCAGUCCCUUACGGGAAACAAUCCCGCAACCUUGGUUGUGCAGCGAAUGUUGCACUCUUAAAUGGCACAUUGAAGGCUACUUCAGGGAUCCACACCUCUUCCGGAGCUGCAAGUUCACCCAGGAAGCCAACAUGACCAUCACUAUUCUUGACUGGAAACAGAGGAAGUGCUGCUUAUUCUUCCUGGGAGCAUUUCAACAGUCAGGGGGAGGCCCUGACCCCUAAGCCUAACCCCAAGCUUCUCCAAACGAGAGUUAUAUGUGUGAGCAUGCAAGCAGGUAAACCAAGGGUUAGGGUGUUGCCCCAGUAUCUCCUUGUAAGGAAAUGGAGGGUGAUCAUCAGCAAUGGAGGCAGAGCUAACUAGUUCACCCCUUCUCUUCCCAUCCCUGAGUUCUACAUCAGGGGUGAGGAACUUGCAGUCCAUCUGAUGUUUUUGGACUCCAACUCUGAUGAUAGGAAGCCAUCCCAGUUUCUGAUUUCAUCCCAGAAUGUCCCACUUUUCCUUAGGUAAAGGGACCCCUGACCAUUAGGUCCAGUCGCAGACAACUCUGGGGUUGCGGCGCGCAUCUUGCUUUACUGGCCAUGGGAGCCGGUGUACAGCUUCCGGGUCAUGUGGCCAGAAGGACUAAGGCACUUCUGGUGAACCAGAGCAGCGCACAGAAACACCGUUGACCUUCCUGCCGGAGCGGUACCUAUUUAUCUCCUUGCACUUUAACGUGCUUUUGAACUGCUAGGUUGGUAGGAGCAGGGACCGAGCAAUGGGAGCUCACCCCAUCGUGCGGAUUCGAACCGCCGACCUUCUGAUCGGCAAGUCCUAGGCUCUGUGGUUUAACCCACAGCGCCACCCGCGUCCCUUCUUUCUGACCUUUGACCCCUAGUUAAAAACUAGACUUUCCGUGGCCUUCUUUACUCCAACCCCAAAUUAUCCAGGUUGUUGUGCACCUGUCUAGAAGUAACAAACAUCUCGUAAAGAGAUUUCUCUGCACCUGCGGCCUCAGGUGUGCAUUGCAGGGCAGCCCCAAAACAAAACUGUCUUCCUGACCCUGGGGUUAGGGGAAUUAGGGAAAUUAGGGUAUAAAGACUAUACUUUUGGGGAAGCCUGUUUAUUCUGACAUUGGCGUUGGUGAAGGAAACCACAGACUGAUCCUGGUGAAAGCGCACUGUUUUAGGAGACAGGGGUCCCAUCCCACGCUCACCCUCUCUAACCCAGAGGAUCCCAAGACAAUUUGUCUCCUACCAUUCUCUGUAUGGGUGCUGCUCCUCUUGCGGGCAGGCGCUGAAGGUAGGAUGAAGACCUUUUCCACCAUGAUUGGGGGGGGAGACAGAUUGGGGGGAGAACACAAAGCGUUCCCUCUAUCUCCCCCUUCUGCCCUGAAGUGUGUACAGGGAAGCCCACUCACUUCAGAUACCCUCGUUUUUCCCCACCUUUUUCUUUACCAUGCAUAAGUAGACUUGUGCCUGAUACAUAAGGAUUAUAAAAAUCCACAAAACUAUCAGUGGACCUGAUUUCUUUCAGAUGAACUGAACGAGUAGGAGUAUAAAACAGGCACCCAUCAUUUGUAUUGCUAUGCAAGACAGAAUAAAGUAGCCAGCAGGGAAGGGAAAGUGGUUGGCCAUCAUACAACUAACCUAGAGGUAUGUUUUACUGCUUAUUCUUUGUGUGGCACUUUGCAGCUCUUAGGAAUGUGCAGGCGUCCCUUAUAGAGAUCUCCCUGCAACCUUGGUGUUCACAGUACCAAAAGGUAGUAGCAUUUAACUGUUAGGUGUCACAGCCUAGUGAGGCAACUUUGCCAGCAUAAAGGUAAAAGGACCCCUGACCAUUAGGUCCUGUUGUGGCCGACUCUGGGGUUGCGUCGCUCAUCUCGCUUUACUGGCCAAGGGAGCCGGUGUACAGCUUCCGGGUCAUGGGGCCAGCAUGACUAAGCCGCUUCUGGCGGACCAGAACAGCGCAUGGAAACGCAGUUAACCUUCCUGCCAGAGCAUUUGUCUACUUGCACUUUGACGUGCUUUCGAACUGCUAGGUUGGCAAGAGCAGGGACCCAGCAAAGGGAGCUCACCCCAUUGCGGGGAUUCGAACCGCUGACCUUCUGAUCGGCAAGUCCUAGGCUCUGCGGUUUAACCCACAGCGUCCGUAACUUAAAGGAAUGCUAUUUCUGUUUCUUCUUUCUGAAACCACCAACCUUGGUUGUGCUGUCAGUGUUGCCCUAUGAAAUGGCACUUUUAAGGCAAUUUAAACUGCAGCUGCAAGUUGCGCCAUGAAGCACCCCUUGCCAUCCCCUUUUGCUGACUGGGAGCGGAGGAGGUGCUGCUUACAGUCUCCCCAGGAGCAUUUCAACAGUCAGGAGGAGACCUGAAGCCUUUGGGGGGGGGGAUUGUACAUCUGCUAAGAACAUUUAUGCCUCCAGAAAAGGGAAAAAACCAUGAGCCUGCUCUAAGGGAAUGCUCAUGAGUAUAUAAGUGCUGUUCUUUAAAACACACCUCUUAACGUUACAAACUGCUGCAAAUUUACAAGACGCAUACAAAUACGUGCCAGUAUUUGUAAAUGUAAAUGAUUCAACUGGCUUUUGGUUUUGGCCCCUGUUGCAGGGGCUCAGCCCACUUAGUCUUGUGCCAUUGGAGCUCCCAGCCUAGGUGCACAGCGGGGGAGAGGCUUAAAUCUUUGCACAGUUGAAUUUUAAGGACUGACACACACAAACACCCCCAAUCUGUAUUAAGACAUUACUAAAUACUAGCGUUUCAAUUUUUAGAGCGACCGUGAGAAAAUACAAUCUCCCUGACCAUCGAGGAAUAGAGACUGUUUCUGGGAGGUUGCCAGGGUUACGGGUGUGAGGAGGGGAAGAGAGACUUUUCACCCAGCUGUUUCAGCUGAAAUCCACCUUUGGAGAAUGCAGGCUGCACCUCUGGAAAGGACCAGGCCUUGUGGAGGUGUAGGGACUGUGUGGUCUUACCGAUUUAGAGAGAUAGCUAGAUAUUGCCCAGCGUUCCCUUUGCUCCUUGCUAAGAAGCUUUUCCAGUGGAUGGAAGUGCACUUAGGCAGAUGUAGCUGCCUUUUGCAACUCCACAGAGAUGUCUGGCAGCUGCCUUGCCUCUUUUUCUUCUCUUUCCUUUCGCUGCCACGCUGCUGGGCGAAUCAGGUGUUUGGUUAAAGGAGCUGUUUGGAUCUUGUGCCCAAAGAUCCCCUUUCCUGCUCUCGCCCCACAAGACGGCAGCAGGAGGGCCCUGGCACUGGCACCUUUGGGGCACUGGCAUCUUGUCUCAAAAGAUUCCCUCUUCUCCCUCCCUCCGUCAGGCGAAGCUUCCCCUUCUCCUUCCCUUUUUUGGGAUCAGGAAUUCAGCACGCCCCAUAGAGACCUGAGAAAUAAAAGGGGGGCAGAUUUUUUCCAGAAUCACUGAAAGAGGGGUCCGUGUAAAAAUAGGCACAGGAUCUGCCAAGCUCCAAUUAACGUACAAGGAAUAACAAAGGAGCUCACAGGAAGCAAGGCUUCUUUCCCAUCAUACAACUAACUUUAAGGAACGCUAUUUCUCUUUCUUCUUUCUGAAGCCCUUUCCAAAGAACAAUGAUAGAAUAUAAACCUCUGGAAGGGACCCCAAGGGUCAUCAAGUCCAACUUGCUGCAUUGCAGGAACAUGCAGGAGUCCCUUAUGGGGAACAAUCCUGCAAACUUGAUUGUGCAGCAAAUGUUGCCCUCUUAAAUGGCACACCUCUCCUGCAGCUGAAGCCAACAAGGCCAUCACUAUUCUGGACUGGAAACAGAGGAACUGCUGCUUACAUCCUCCCUGGGAGCAUUUCAGCAGUCAGGG